UACGUAGGGUGCAAGCGUUGUCCGGAAUUAUUGGGCGUAAAGAGCUCGUAGGCGGUCUGUUGCGUCGGCUGUGAAAACCCGGGGCUCAACUCCGGGCCUGCAGCCGAUACGGGCAGACUAGAGUUCGGCAGGGGAGACUGGAAUUCCUGGUGUAGCGGUGAAAUGCGCAGAUAUCAGGAGGAACACCGAUGGCGAAGGCAGGUCUCUGGGCUGACACUGACGCUCAUGCACGAAAGCGUGGGGAGCAAACAGG
rnacentral:rRNA from 1 species